rnacentral:tRNA from 1 species
UGGAGUAUAGCUCAGUGGUAGAGCACUUAUGUAGCAUAUUCAAGUACCUGGGUUUGAUUCCCAGCAUUGCAA